rnacentral:lncRNA from 1 species
GAGACUCCGUCUCAAAAAAAAGAAUUAGGGGGUGAGAUAGAUGACAGAUGUGGUUAAUUGCAUUAUUCUUCCUGAUUUUUCACGCCUUCCUGUAUGCUUGUCUUAAGAUCUAGCACUUCUGUUCUCUGGGGUUGGAGGAUAUUGUCUUACUGUGUCUCUGUUGGACAUGGCCUUGUGAUUUGCCUCAGCCUUUGACCUUUGAGAUGUAGGUGGAAGCAACAAAGUGACAGUUCCAAGUCCCGACCAUAAGAAGCAUUGUGUAUUUCCAUUUGUGCUUCCAACCGUUCCCAUGACAAGAGCAUACCCUUGGAUAUAGCUGCUACUCUUUCGUCUUGGACCCCAGAAUGAACGUGUGGAUCUCCAGCCUCCCCACUAACCUGUGGGCCUGAGAACAAGAGCUCCCUGUUGCACUGCUGACUGAUACACAUAGUGCAAGCACAGCUGGCCCUCCAUACAGCUUGGGAAGAUGGAUCAAUAUGGCCUGUAGAGUAAGAAGACCUAUAUCCAGAUCUGCAUUUUACUGUUUUCUCUGGGGGGAUUGGAGAUAAUGCUGCAGAAAAGCCAAGUACACUCCCAAGGAUAGGAUUUGGCAGGAGCAGCUGCGACAGUGAGCUGGUGGAUCCCUGGCCAGGAGGGAGCACAAUGAUAAAAGAUUCAGGACUGUCAGAAAUGCUGGAUGCUGUAGAAAAGGAUUGGAUGAUGCCUUCUCACUGGCCCCAGGGCUCUUGGAAUUUGUUCUAGAGAAGCACAAAAAGAAGGGAGCAGGUGCUGGGAGCCACAUCUCAAGUUGAAAAGCAUACAGAACAAUUAUUUACUGAGAACUUGUGAAUGCCAAGAGCUGAUCAUGUGUGGCUGGAAUGAUGCUGGUGCUGUGUUCGUAGGUUUGCUUUGUCUCCAGCACCCCACUGGUCAAUAGGAACAAGGGAGCAAUUUUCAGAGUUAUUAGCUGUGUUUGAGCUGUGCUGUCUGCCAAAAGAAGAAGUGGCUUUUGGACGCAGAUUUUACCUCGGAUGUAAUGUGGAGAGACACGUUGACACCUCCCUCUGAUAAAGGUGCUUCCCAUUUCUACAGCCGGUUUACUGCGGUCUCCUCAUGAACAUGUUGUCAUCACGCCCAGUGUAACUGCUCCCUCCCUGCAGGAGUUUACUCUGCUACAUGGAUAAGCUAACAAAGGCUCAUCUGGAACUACAGGGUUACAUCUCUAGUGUCAUUGUAUGACACAGGUAUCCUUUUCUCACUCAAUGGGAAUUCUUUGAGUACAAGGACUUUGAGUUUCUAUCUUUGUAUUCUGCACUGUGCUUAACAUAAAAUUUAGAACAGAGUGGGUAUUUCAUUGGCAUGUUAAUAAAUGAGUGAGUAGAAGAGGUAAACCUAAAAAGCACACGCUAAGCUAGUUUUACUUAGUUAAGCCUUUAAUAAUUUAUCCAUAUCUAAUUUAUCAUUUUCUUGUCAAAUGUGGUCAUGUUUUGUUUUAAUUAACCUUUUUAGCUUAAUUAUGAACAAACUUGAAAGUAAUUUAAUGAACUUCGUUAGUAUCUACCACUCAAUUUGCUAAUGCUGAUGUCUCUGGUUUUUCUAAUAUAUGAUAUUUACAGUCAGAAGCAAUACUUAGUCCACAGGAAUUAGUUUCUCAUGAAAACACCUGCGAUAGAAAGGAAGGUUGAUCAAAAUAAACACAAACUUAGAAUUUGUAUUGAGGCUUAAACUAAAUGUGAACUUCUCAAUGUCCUUUCCCUACGGUUUAUAGUUGCUCAGAUUUUGACUUAGGCAAAUAUAUUUGUUUCAAAUGAUCAAAUUUCAGUUAAAUUGACUUAGUGAAAUUUCCAGGCUGUUUUGGUUAGAGAGGAGGUAGUGCAACUUUACUUGGGAUUUAUUUUUCAUAAUAUAAGAGCAUAUUGGUUGGUAUUCAUUAGCAUUAAUGAGUCAACAGAGAUGAGUGAAAGAAA